rnacentral:rRNA from 1 species
GAUGAACGCUAGCGGCAGGCUUAACACAUGCAAGUCGAGGGGCAGCGAGGCCGUAGCAAUACGGCUGUCGGCGACCGGCGCACGGGUGCGUAACGCGUAUGCAACCUACCCGUAACAGGGGGAUAACACUGAGAAAUUGGUACUAAUACCCCAUAAUAUCUCGGAAGGCAUCUUCUGGGGUUGAAAACUCUGGUGGUUACGGAUGGGCAUGCGUUGUAUUAGCUAGUUGGUAAGGUAACGGCUUACCAAGGCGACGAUGCGUAGGGGUUCUGAGAGGAAGGUCCCCCACACUGGUACUGAGACACGGACCAG